rnacentral:tRNA from 1 species
GAGGGCAUAGCUCAGUGGUAGAGUGUGUGCUUAGCAUGCGCAAGGUCCUGGGUUCAAUCCCCAGCACCUCCA